AUACGAAGGGGGCUAGCGUUGUUCGGAAUCACUGGGCGUAAAGCGCGCGUAGGUGGAUCAAUUAGUUGAGGGUGAAAUCCCAGGGCUCAACCUCGGAACUGCCUUCAAUACUGUUGAUCUUGGGACCGAGAGAGGUGAGUGGAAUUCCUAGUGUAGAGGUGAAAUUCGUAGAUAUUAGGAAGAACACCAGUGGCGAAGGCGGCUCACUGGCUCGGUACUGACGCUGAGGUGCGAAAGCGUGGGGAGCAAACAGGAUUAGAAACCCUAGUAGUCC
rnacentral:rRNA from 1 species